rnacentral:rRNA from 1 species
GACGAACGCUGGCGGCGGGCUUAACACAUGCAAGUCGAACGGAAAGGCCCUGCUUUUGUGGGGUGAUCGAGUGGCGAACGGGUGAGUAACACGUGAGUAACCUGCCCUUGACUUUGGGAUAACUUCAGGAAACUGGGGCUAAUACCGGAUAGGAGCUCCUGCUGCAUGGUGGGGGUUGGAAAGUUUCGGCGGUUGGGGAUGGACUCGCGGCUUAUCAGCUUGUUGGUGGGGUAGUGGCUUACCAAGGCUUUGACGGGUAGCCGGCCUGAGAGGGUGACCGGCCACAUUGGGACUACGAUACGGCCCAGACUCCUACGGGAGGCAGCAGUGGGGAAUAUUGCACAAUGGGCGGAAGCCGGAUGCAGCAACGCCGCGUGCGGGAUGACGGCCUUCGGGUUGUAAACCGCUUUCGCCUGUGACGAAGCGUGAGUGACGGUAAUGGGUAAAGAAGCACCGGCUAACUACGUG